GACGAACGCUGGCGGCGUGCCUAAUACAUGCAAGUAGAACGCUGAAGGAGGAGCUUGCUUCUCUGGAUGAGUUGCGAACGGGCGAGUAACGCGUAGGUAACCUGCCUGGUAGCGGGGGAUAACUAUUGGAAACGAUAGCUAAUACCGCAUAAGAGUAGAUGUUGCAUGACAUUUGCUUAAAAGGUGCAAUUGCAUCACUACCAGAUGGACCUGCGUUGUAUUAGCUAGUUGGUGGGGUAACGGCUCACCAAGGCGACGAUACAUAGCCGACCUGAGAGGGUGAUCGGCCACACUGGGACUGAGACACGGCCCAGACUCCUACGGGAGGCAGCAGUAGGGAAUCUUCGGCAAUGGACGGAAGUCUGACCGAGCAACGCCGCGUGAGUGAAGAAGGUUUUCGGAUCGUAAAGCUCUGUUGUAAGAGAAGAACGAGUGUGAGAGUGGAAAGUUCACACUGUGACGGUAUCUUACCAGAAAGAGACGGCUAACUACGUG
rnacentral:rRNA from 1 species